rnacentral:rRNA from 1 species
CCGCGGUAAUACGAAGGGUGCAAGCGUUAAUCGGAAUUACUGGGCGUAAAGCGCGCGUAGGCGGCUAUUCAAGUCGGGGGUGAAAGCCCGGGGCUCAACCCCGGAACUGCCCUCGAAACUAGGUAGCUAGAAUCUUGGAGAGGUCAGUGGAAUUCCGAGUGUAGAGGUGAAAUUCGUAGAUAUUCGGAAGAACACCAGUGGCGAAGGCGACUGACUGGACAAGUAUUGACGCUGAGGUGCGAAAGCGUGGGGAGCAAACAGG